GCCGAUGAGGAACGUUUGGCCCGGCACCGAUGGGGUGAUGAGGGCCACCACUCCCGAGG
rnacentral:snoRNA from 1 species